GACCUGGAGCUUCGGCUACCCUGAGGUCUGGCAGUGCUUGGGUGGGAGUAGGAAAGGGGCAGAAAUAUAGGUCUUGGAAAGGGAGGAGAGCAAGAAGCCGCUGGCGGGCCGCGGACCGGGAUGAGCUGAGGGAGUUGCCAAGGGCCCCCAGCUAACCUCUCGGUUAUUGUAGUCCCAGUCGUGCCAACCCCCUUGGGCCCAUGAGAUGCUGAGGGCGCGGUAGGGAUCCUACCCCCAAAAGCUCCGUGCCACUUGCUACAGGCAGCUUGGAAAGUUUGUCUGUAGGGGGCCCAAGACCGAAUUCAGCCCCACGCUCGGGGCUGGUACAGAAGUGGGCCGACAAAGCUACUUCUAAAAGCUGACUAUCAAGGUGUGGAGAAAUCUCAGCCUGUGUUGGUGGAGGGAGAUCUGGAUAUAAACCCAGAUGUUUUCAUACAAGAGAGAAGAGACAGAUCGUGGAAACCUUAAUCGACGAUAUCUACAAGCUAGCUAUAGAAGGUCGAUCGAUCAAGCAAUCAACAAGGAUUUAUGAAGUGUUUCCUAUGUUCCAGACCUUGAACUAUGUGUCAGGCGCUGUAUCAGGGCCUGGAGAUAAAGAAACAAAAGUGAAACAGUCCCUGACCAUGAGGAGCUUAUACUUUACCAAGGAGAGACACCAUACAUAGAUAGGUGCAUAAAAAUUGAUAAGAGCCUCACUUGACUCUAUUGGGCAUCUGUACGAUCAUCCCAUCCUAUCUACACUUCCCCAUCCUCUCACUUUACUCCAGAUUUGGCCUAGACCCAGUUAUUCAGAUUUCAUACCCAAAAGAUAUAGCUCCAUUUGCCUCUUCCGUGGCCUGGUUGUUAUGUGCAAAAGUCUACUUUCCAGUUUUUAGAGUCCUGAUUAUUUAUUCCUGUAAAGUAGUUUCCCUGGCCUUUUCCCCAAGCUAGUAAGGCUGAGGUUGAUCUGGAAGCCUGGCGUAAAUGGGAGAACUCAGCUAGAGGCUAAACAUGAUUCUAGCAAUGGAUUCAAUGGAGUGGGAGGGUUUCUGUAAAUAACACAGUAUACUAGAGGUUGAAUUGUUCCAUGAGGGUCAUCCAGGGAUUCUGGGGAUGUCAAGGUAGAUGUGUCCAGGCUUGGAGGUAAUCUUGCGACUUGAAAAGUCCUGCAGGUCCUGAAUCCAUUAGGUAAAAUUGGCAGCAAGGAAAUUUUCUUCAUCAUAGAAGAUGACCACAAGAGGAGGAGACCAAGCCUGGCCUGGCUUGACAGAUAUGGACUUUGAGGGAGAUGGUGUGGAAAUGAAAUGCAAAAUGUCUAGUAAGUGGUCCUACAAAUUACCUUCUUUUCUGAUAGAACUUAAAUAUCAGUCUCUCAGCAGAUUGCAAGCAGUUAAAAGUUGUUACCAAAGCCUGUUUGAAGUCACUUUGACAAUUCACAUUGUGAGUUUUUUAUAUUUAGCGUUUCUGCUGUGUGAUGAAUAAAAUGCCUGUCCCAUACCUGCUUCACACUGUAAAUUGAGUCCCUUUUUACUCCCUCCUUUGGGAAGACCUAGAAAUGAGACCUAAAUAUAAGCUCUGAAUAAUUUGUAGCCAGAUCACUAAGGUGGGAGUUAAUAAGCCAAAGAAUGUAAGCAUUCAGAGAUGAUCUCCCUCUAUCACUAGAGGCUGGGUGCCAUCAGAACUGAGCUAGGUCAGGCUGCAUACCUGGGACUAGUGCAAAAGGGCCCAUAAGGAGUGGAAGAGGGGGUGCAGUGCCCUAGCCCCUAAGGCCCAGCAAUGGUUCUUUUAAUGUUACAAUAGCAACUCUCUCACUGCCUACUGGAUGAAAUCUGUGGAAUUCUGGAGCUUAUUCAUUGCCAGCCUUUUUUUUUUCCCUUCUUUCCCCAAUACUGAAAGAAAUGAAGUUAAAUGGAAAACUUGAAGACAUCUUUGCUCUAGGCUAUGUUCUCAUUUAGCACAAGCAUUUACUCUCUUAAGAUGAAGGAAUAUUAGUCACGUAAAGGGACCGAAUGGAGAUCAGCUAAAGGGAGGAGAUAUGACUGUGUGUGCUAGAGGUGGGGGAAGGGAAGGCAGGUGGGGAGAGGAAUUGGGGAAGGCUAGACUUGGGGAUCUUUUUCCAGAAGGAGUCAAGUUAAGCAGUAAGUCACUCAUAUUUAUGUAGCAGUGUAUGAUUUUAAGAGAGUGGGUGGUGUGCUGAGGAUAUAACAUUGUCCUUAGAGUCAAAAAGAUCUGGGUUUACACCCUGCCUCUUUUAUAUACUGACUAUAUGACCCUGGGUGAGUCAUGACCCCUCAUUCCCAUUCCCCUCAGGGAACUGUCUUUUAAAGUUUUUUUUUAAGUUUUGAAUUGAAACAUCAAAGAAAAUGGGCGUUUUUAUAUCAAUAGUAUAGAAGAAAAAGAGAUUGUAUGUGAAACUGAGGAUCUCAUGUAUAUAGU